AGACAGGUGCUGCAUGGCUGUCGUCAGCUCGUGUUGUGAAAUGUUGGGUUAAGUCCCGCAACGAGCGCAACCCUUAUCCUUUGUUGCCAGCGGUUCGGCCGGGAACUCAAAGGAGACUGCCAGUGAUAAACUGGAGGAAGGUGGGGAUGACGUCAAGUCAUCAUGGCCCUUACGAGUAGGGCUACACACGUGCUACAAUGGCAUAUACAAAGAGAAGCGACCUCGCGAGAGCAAGCGGACCUCAUAAAGUAUGUCGUAGUCCGGAUUGGAGUCUGCAACUCGACUCCAUGAAGUCGGAAUCGCUAGUAAUCGUAGAUCAGAAUGCUACGGUGAAUACGUUCCCGGGCCUUGUACACACCGCCCGUCACACCAUGGGAGUGGGUUGCAAAAGAAGUAGGUAGCUUAACCUUCGGGAGGGCGCUUACCACUUUGUGAUUCAUGACUGGGGUGAAGUCGUAACAAGGUAACCGUAGGGGAACCUGCGGUUGGAUCACCUCCUUA
rnacentral:rRNA from 1 species